UGGGGAAUUUUGGACAAUGGGCGAAAGCCUGAUCCAGCAAUGCCGCGUGUGUGAAGAAGGCCUUCGGGUUGUAAAGCACUUUUGUCCGGAAAGAAAUCCUUGGCUCUAAUACAGUCGGGGGAUGACGGUACCGGAAGAAUAAGCACCGGCUAACUACGUGCCAGCAGCCGCGGUAAUACGUAGGGUGCAAGCGUUAAUCGGAAUUACUGGGCGUAAAGCGUGCGCAGGCGGUUUGCUAAGACCGAUGUGAAAUCCCCGGGCUCAACCUGGGAACUGCAUUGGUGACUGGCAGGCUAGAGUAUGGCAGAGGGGGGUAGAAUUCCACGUGUAGCAGUGAAAUGCGUAGAGAUGUGGAGGAAUACCGAUGGCGAAGGCAGCCCCCUGGGCCAAUACUGACGCUCAUGCACGAAAGCGUGGGGAGCAAACAGGAUUAGAUACCCUGGUAGUCCACGCCCUAAACGAUGUCAACUAGUUGUUGGGGAUUCAUUUCCUUAGUAACGUAGCUAACGCGUGAAGUUGACCGCCUGGGGAGUACGGUCGCAAGAUUAAAACUUAAAUGAAUUGAUGGGGUCAUAGCUGUUUCCU
rnacentral:rRNA from 1 species